rnacentral:rRNA from 1 species
GAUGAACGCUGGCGGCGUGCCUAAUACAUGCAAGUAGAACGCUGAAGGAAGGAGCUUGCUCUUUCCGGAUGAGUUGCGAACGGGUGAGUAACGCGUAGGUAACCUGCCUGGUAGCGGGGGAUAACUAUUGGAAACGAUAGCUAAUACCGCAUAACAGUAGAUGUUGCAUGAUAUCUACUUAAAAGGUGCAAUUGCACCACUACCAGAUGGACCUGCGUUGUAUUAGCUAGUUGGUGAGGUAACGGCUCACCAAGGCGACGAUACAUAGCCGACCUGAGAGGGUGAUCGGCCACACUGGGACUGAGACACGGCCCAGACUCCUACGGGAGGCAGCAGUAGGGAAGCUUCGGCAAUGGACGGAAGUCUGACCGAGCAACGCCGCGUGAGUGAAGAAGGUUGUCGGAUCGUAAAGCUCUGUUGUAAGAGAAGAACGAGUGUGAGAGUGGAAAGUUCACACUGUGACGGUAUCUUACCAGAAAGGGACGGCUAACUACGUG